rnacentral:lncRNA from 1 species
CUCUACCAAUCAGCAGGAUGUGGGUGGGGCCAGAUAAGAGAAUAAAAGCAGGCUGCAGGAGCCAGCAGUGGCAACCCACUCAGGUCCCCUUCCACACUGUGGAAGCUUUGUUCUUUUGCUCUUUGCAAUAAAUCUUGCUACUGCUGGCUCUUUGGGUCCACACUGCUUUUAUGAGCUGUGACACUCACCGCAAAGGUCUGCAGCUUCACUCCUGAAGCCAGCGAGACCACGAGCCCACUGGGAGGAAGGAACAACUCCAGACGCACUGCCUUAAGAGCUGUAACACUCACUGCGAAGGUCUGCAGCUUCACUCCUGAGCCAGCGAGACCACGAACCCACCAGAAGGAAGAAACUCCAAACACAGCUGAACAUCAGAAGGGACAAACUCCAGACGCGCCCCCUUAAGAGCUGUAGCACUCACCACGAGGGUCCGCGGCUUCAUUCUUGAAGUCAGUGAGACCAAGAACCCACCAAUUCCAGACACAACUGCACCCAGCCAUGAAAAGUUAUUUUUAAAAGUCUUCAUAUUUACAAGUGCUGAGGUAAGUGGUCCUGCCUAACCCACGAUGGUUAUAAGCAACAAUAGCUGAAAUGGAGAUCUUUUUGAAAUGCCUUAAGUGAUUUAUUUGUGUGGGCAAUUAAAAAAGAUGCUAGUCUUGGCUGGGUGCGGUGGCUCACACCUGUAAUCCCACACUUUGGGAGGCCGAGGCGGGAGGAUUAUGAGGUCAGGAGAUCGAGACCAACCUGGCUAACACUGUGAAACCCUGUCUCUACUAAAAAUACAAAAAAAAAUUAGCCGCGCGUGGUGGCAGGUGCCUGUAGUCCCAGCUGCUCCGGAGGCUGAGGCAGGAGAAUGGCGUAAACCUGAACCCAGGAGGCAGAGCUUGCAGUAAGCCGAGGUAGCGCCACUGCACUCCAGCCUGGGCGAUAGAGCGAGACACCCCUCAGGAAAGAAAAAAAAAAGUUGCUAGUCUUAGAACCGGAAAAAUUAAAUGAGAGACUUUCAGUGGGACUUAGAAGCUUCUAAACCUCCAACUGUUUCCCCUCCUCUUACCCCGUGUGCUAUUGUGGCAGUAGAGUUCUCCCUGACAACCACACAACCAGGCCUACAUGACAGUCACACAGACAGGCCUGCAUAGCACUUGUGUUACACAAACAGAUUUCCACAGAGCUGCCUUAAAAAUUGAGCAAAUAGUCCAAACUAGGGAAAUAGGUGCCCAGACAUAAAAGCUAGAAAUGAAACAUAUGGUCAGUAGGAGCCUUGCACAGGCUUCUCCCUAACCUGGAACAAGUCAAAAUAAUAGAGACAGUCUUACAUUCCUAGUGCCAGGACCCAUCUCGGGUAACAAAAUCUGAGACAAGUCAAGGUAACAGAGGCAGCUGUUUGAAUAGAUUCAUUGGAGAGUCUAAGGCAGCUCUCUGGGUCAAGCUGUAAAGGAGAUAAGAUAGAAAUAAUCACUCCAGGCCAGGCGCGAUGACUCACACCUGUAAUCCCAGCAUUUUGGGAGGCUGAGGCAGGCAGAUCACCGGAGGUCAGGAGUUUAAAACCAGCCUGGCCAACAUGGUGAAACCCCCAUCUCUACUAAAAAUACAAAAUUAGCCAGGCAUGGUGGCACACGCCUGUAAUCCCAGCUACCCAGGAGGCAGAGGCAGGAGAAUCACUAGAACGCAGGAGGCAGAGGUUGCAGUGAGCCGAGAUUGUGCCACUGCACUCCAGCCUGGGCGACAGAGUGAGACUCCGUCUCAAAAAAAAAAAGAAAAGAAAAGAAAGAAAGAAAAAGAAAUAGUCACUCCAGUACCACAGUAGACAGGCCUUGAAGGUACUAGGACCCUUUUAAUCAGACUUAGACAGCAUUUUUUGCCUCUGACCUUCUAGUUGAAACAAAAUUAGUUACCAGUAGACUUAAGGCGAAUGAUAUACGGCACAUAGGCACAUAACCCCAACCUAUGUAAGCACUAAGAAAAUUGUAACUCUUUGAGUUGGUCUGUUUGAAUUAUCUCUGGCCUUCUCCCUGUGUCUGGUUACAGUAAUAAAUUCCUUUCUUUCCUAGUUUGUCUGCUUCUCCUUAUCGGGCCUCAAGAAAACGCAGCCAGACCCAGUUUGGUUCCGGAAACAAUAUGAGUUCAUCCCUUUUUCCUUGUUCACUCAGCUCCCAUAUAUCUCUUAGGCAGAGAUUUUUAGGAGUUCACAAUGCACACAUUUCCUUCCCUCAAAAGGGGAAAAUAUAUAUAAAUGUAAAACGAAAAGAGCAAAUGGAACAACUACAAAAAGAAAAUGAAACUUAAGAUUAAAAAAUGCAGAUCCAAAAAUUUUUUUCUAAACUGGGAGAUUAAGAAACAAAAUAAAAUUCUCAAACAUUAAUAUAUGCCAGGUUUUUUUGAGACUACAGCUGGCUAUGUAUCAUGGCUGGUUCUUCUGUACAUUUUAAAUUGAUGGACAGAUUACACUAAAACAAUUCAGGGCCGGGCGAGGUGGCUGAAGCCUGUAAUCACAGGACUUUGGGAGGACGAGGCGGGCGGAUCACUUGAGGUCAGGAGUUUGAAACCAGCCUGGCCAACUUGGCGAAACUCCAUCUCUAAUAAAAAUACACAAAUUAGCUGGGUGUGGUGGUACACACCUGUAGUCCCAGCUACUUGAGAAGCUGAGGCAGGAGUAUCACUUGAUCCCAGGAGGCGGACGUUGCAGUAAGCCGAGAUCGUGCCACUGCACUCCAGCCUGGGUGACAGAGCAAGACUCCUUCUGAAAAAAAGAAAAAGAAAAGGAAUUCAGAGCUCAGAUGGUCAACUUAUAACUUUAGAGUUAGCACACAGAGCCUUCUAAGUUCUCUGUUUUUUUUUCUGCCCACUUUAAAUCUGCUAACUUUUCUACUGGUAUUGAGAUAAAGCUCACUGUUUAUGGUAUUGCUAAUGCAAAAUUACUUAGAGAUUUUGUGUGUGUGUGUGUUUUUGACAAUUCAGACAGUUCUAACUAAAAUAUAAACAUUAAAAUGUUAACCCUAAGAUCAUUUAGAACUAAAGAAAAAAGGGGCAGAAGAUGUUUUUAAAAUCAAACUGCCAUAAGAAUUGCUUUACCCAAAAUUUUGAUCCACAGCCUUCAUUAAGUUAUCUGUUGAGACAAAGUUUAAGCCAUGUAAACAAGUUCCAAUUUUGUCAUCUGUAAUAUGGAUCCAACUGUCUUUUAUAAACUAGUAAGUUUAUGCUACUCUCUCAUGACUAAAAUUCUAAAAUAAAUACUAUAAAGUCUUUAUGUGUGUGUAUAUGUUUGUUUAGAUGUGUUUAAAUAUAUGUACAUAUAUUGUUAUAUGUUGUAUCUAUAUGCUACAAAACUGACUUAUAAAUAGAUGAGUGCUCAUAAAUUACUAAACCCAAGUAUGUUCCAAGUUUAUAUGACUUAAAGAAGUCUUUAAUAAAUAAGUUGAUGUUCAAAUUAUUGAUAAGAUAAACAUUUAAAUGUCUUUAAAAUUGUCAACGUACAUUUUUGUCUGAGUUUACUGGUCAGAAAGUUUUGUAUUUCUCUCCACUAGAUAUUUUAAGGUGCCUGGGUUUGACACAAAGGUUAUAAGACUAUAAAUCUGGUCAAAACCAAAUGAUCUUUGUUUGUGCAAUUUUAAUAAAUAAGACAUUUAAUAUUGUUAGCUUAAUAAAAACAGCUAAAUCUUCUGAGUUGUUGACAAAAUACCCAUAUUUUAAUUUAAGUUUCUCACUCGGGUGAACACCUGAUAAUCACAGGCUAUAAAAAUGUUUAACAUAACCAUACAUAACUUUUGAUAAUGACUAACUUUGUCUAAUAUCUAAGUUUUCAUAAAUAGUCUAGUCAACCUAUUAAAAAUAAAUAAAUUGGGUAAGCAUAAAUGAGAUAAAUGCUUAUUAAAAACUUUUUGUGUAAUUCAAAAUCUUAAAGUUAUGUUAAAUUAAAUAAUAGAUACUCAUUAAACAUCUGGGUCAUUUCUAAUUAAGAAAAAAUUAUGUCCAAGCUGAGAGCCAGAUCAAGAAUGCAACCCCAUUCACAAUAGCCACAAAAGAAUAAAAUAACUAAGAAUGCCGUUUUUUUGUUUUUGUUUUUGAGACAGAGUCUCGCUCUGUCACCCAGGCUGGAGCGUAGUGGUGCGAUCUAGGUUUACUGCAAGCUCCGCCUCCCAGGUUCACACCAUUCUCCUGCCUCAGCCUCCCGAGUAGCUGGGACUAUA